AAUCAAUCCCCUUUGACUGCUUUUACCUGAGUGUGUUUCUGUAGAAAUUUAGAGGAAGCUGCAAUAGCAAAGCCAUGUUACCAGCCUUAAAAACAUUGAAGUCAUUAAGAUCCCUUAAAAUGGGUAUAAGG